ACGUGGAUCGAAAGUGGGUGGGAAUCUGCCACGAUUGACAUUUGUUCAAUGGCAGCUGUAGACGGCGCCGAUCGAGAGACUCGCGCGGCUUGAAUAAAAUUACCCGAGAGAGUCACCUGUUGAUUCUGUCCUGAUAUGGUCUUUUUUGGACCCCGAACUUUCAUGCAACAGGUGGCAGAUUGUUUCAGCCGGAAGACAGAAUGGCGAAAUGUCACACGUGCAAAGUCUCGCUGUUGGGCGUCUUUCAGCACUGAAGCAGUGAACAGCUCCCACAAGUCGUGUCGUUGGAAGGUCUGGGAGAUAUCGAACUGUAAAGAUGCAUCUAUCUAUCUAUCUAUCUAUCUAUCUAUAAGGUGAAGGCCUAUAUACAUAGGCUAUGCUUAAGAAAGAGGCUCUUCAGUCAUUAAGUUGACAGAGUAUUUUUGAUAGCUAUAUUCCCAUGCUCUUACAAGUUGAUAAACAAGGUUUUUCCAUAUAAAGGGCAACAUAGGUCAAAACUCAAGCUUACAAUGUAUUGGACAUCCCCUCAAACGUAGGUUUCCUUACCAUGGAACACUGUCUGUCCACAGACCCUUCCCCCAUCUUCCGUUUUUCUUGUUAAAUUGACACUCCCCCUCAGUCUGCUGCCUCAGCUCUGUUGCAUAGCUACCAGAUCUACCCUCAGAGCACUGACGAUAAACAACAAUGACUUGGGCUAUAUGUUUGUAUUUUAAUUGCUAGAGCUAAACCAGUUUAACUUAAUGACAUCAUGGCCAUUGUGGGCUUUAUCAUGGUUUAGGUUAUAUUUUGUUCUGCAGAAAGCAGAUGAAACUGAACAGAGACUUUCUCUAAAAUGUCAUGUUCUGUGAUUCCGCGAGUCAGUUUCAUGGUUGUGAAAGUAACAGAAAAUGAUCACCCCAAAGAGCUGGACUUUUUCCUCACACACACCAGUGGUUGAUUAUGAGAGUUCCCCUCCCCCUUUUCUGUCCCUCUUUGAAAAGGGCUUAUAUGAAUAAAGGGAAGAGAGGAUGUCUACUUAUUUAACAGGUGAAGCAGGAGCGGAAAUAAUUAUUAGAAAAAAGGAGAAUAAUGUGAUAUAAAAGAGUGAAGUGUCAGACAAUGGGAUAAAUGGAAAUGGAGUGUAUAAGUCUUGUGCCCUUCCGGUUCAUGGACUAUUUCCUCUUCAGAGGUGGUGGACUUUCACAGCCAGGAGGUUUGGGAAUUAUCAGCACUGAAUGGAUUGAUUGAGCUGUAGAAAAUCUCAGAUGACAGACAGACAGACACACACACACACACACACACACACACACACACACACACACACACACACUCACACACUAAGAUGAAGAGGACCUACACCUGCCAGAUUUACAGUUAUAGGCAUAGUUAAGACCCUGCAAGAGCCUCUUCAUUGUAUUUUUUUUUUUUCAUUCCUCCUGUAGGCUUAGAUUAAUGGGGACCUGGGUGAAGAAGCAUGGAGACAUUUUGCUCUGUGUGCUGGGUGGAAGACUAGUGAUUUUGUUGUGAAACUGAACAAAGACACUAACAACAAAGCCCAGUCUACCUCUCAGCACAGGGUACAGGCCUGCAGUGUCUUUUGUUAAAUCUUGAUAUUAUGAAAUUAUGUAGGCUACUCAUGCAAUGAGAUGAGGGGGUGAGUUGGCCCACUUGGUCAUCUUUUGCUGGAUGUAGGCUAAACAUUAUGAAAUAAAAUGAAUAGCCCUACCUGAUCCAUUUUAAAAUCAAGAUAUAUUAGGCUAUAACAAUAUCUACAAAGUUGUCUAUUAUCUGUGAUGCUGUUGUGUUUUAAAUGACUGAUCAAUAAAAAAAAACUGUAAACCUA